GAAUUUCAUACGGUGCUGCCAGAAGUUUGUGCAGGUGGUGUAUUUCAUCUUCUAGAACAGCCUGCAGCCUCUGGUCUUUACUUGGGGAUCUCUGCAGAGACUGAGUAAGAUUGACAGCUUUGCAGGUGAAAACCAAGAUGUUCCACCUACAAGGCUCGCAAGUGCUGCAGACGCUAGAAAAAUCCUUGAGGAAGAGCCUCCCAGAGUCCUUAAAGGUGUAUGGGACCAUCUUCCACAUGAACCAGGGAAACCCAUUUAAGCUAAAGGCCCUGGUGGACAAGUGGCCUGACUUUACAACAGUGGUUAUCCGCCCUCAGGAGGAGGUAAGGUGCCAGAUG